AACGCACAUUGCGCCCCUUGGUAUUCCGAUGGGCAUGCCUGUUCGAGCGUCAUUAUCCUCCCUCAAACCUCGCGUUUGGUGUUGGACCACGUUGGUUCCUCCGGGAUCAACGGGUCUCAAAGACAAUGACGGCGUCCGUGGGACCCUCGGUGCAACGAGCUUUCCGAAGCACGCGUCGAGUCGAAAGGACCUUCGGGGCCGGUCUGACCUUUUCUUUUUGUCAGGUUGACCUCGAAUCAGGUAGGAAUACCCGCUGAACUUAA
rnacentral:misc_RNA from 1 species